AUCUCAGUGGUUAGGUCGCGAGUUUUACACGCUCGGGAUCGAGGGUUCGAUCCCCUCCUCUGAUA
rnacentral:tRNA from 1 species